GAGCGGAACGAGUUAACUGAACCUUCGGGGGACGUUAACGGCGUCGAGCGGCGGACGGGUGAGUAAUGCCUAGGAAAUUGCCCUGAUGUGGGGGAUAACCAUUGGAAACGAUGGCUAAUACCGCAUGAUGCCUACGGGCCAAAGAGGGGGACCUUCGGGCCUCUCGCGUCAGGAUAUGCCUAGGUGGGAUUAGCUAGUUGGUGAGGUAAGGGCUCACCAAGGCGACGAUCCCUAGCUGGUCUGAGAGGAUGAUCAGCCACACUGGAACUGAGACACGGUCCAGACUCCUACGGGAGGCAGCAGUGGGGAAUAUUGCACAAUGGGCGCAAGCCUGAUGCAGCCAUGCCGCGUGUGUGAAGAAGGCCUUCGGGUUGUAAAGCACUUUCAGUCGUGAGGAAGGUAGUGUAGUUAAUAGCUGCAUUAUUUGACGUUAGCGACAGAAGAAGCACCGGCUAACUCCGUGCCAGCAGCCGCGGUAAUACGGAGGGUGCGAGCGUUAAUCGGAAUUACUGGGCGUAAAGCGCAUGCAGGUGGUUUGUUAAGUCAGAUGUGAAAGCCCGGGGCUCAACCUCGGAAUAGCAUUUGAAACUGGCAGACUAGAGUACUGUAGAGGGGGGUAGAAUUUCAGGUGUAGCGGUGAAAUGCGUAGAGAUCUGAAGGAAUACCGGUGGCGAAGGCGGCCCCCUGGACAGAUACUGACACUCAGAUGCGAAAGCGUGGGGAGCAAACAGGAUUAGAUACCCUGGUAGUCCACGCCGUAAACGAUGUCUACUUGGAGGUUGUGGCCUUGAGCCGUGGCUUUCGGAGCUAACGCGUUAAGUAGACCGCCUGGGGAGUACGGUCGCAAGAUUAAAACUCAAAUGAAUUGACGGGGGCCCGCACAAGCGGUGGAGCAUGUGGUUUAAUUCGAUGCAACGCGAAGAACCUUACCUACUCUUGACAUCCAGAGAACUUUUCAGAGAUGGAUUGGUGCCUUCGGGAACUCUGAGACAGGUGCUGCAUGGCUGUCGUCAGCUCGUGUUGUGAAAUGUUGGGUUAAGUCCCGCAACGAGCGCAACCCUUAUCCUUGUUUGCCAGCGAGUAAUGUCGGGAACUCCAGGGAGACUGCCGGUGAUAAACCGGAGGAAGGUGGGGACGACGUCAAGUCAUCAUGGCCCUUACGAGUAGGGCUACACACGUGCUACAAUGGCGCAUACAGAGGGCGGCCAACUUGCGAAAGUGAGCGAAUCCCAAAAAGUGCGUCGUAGUCCGGAUUGGAGUCUGCAACUCGACUCCAUGAAGUCGGAAUCGCUAGUAAUCGUGGAUCAGAAUGCCACGGUGAAUACGUUCCCGGGCCUUGUACACACCGCCCGUCACACCAUGGGAGUGGGCUGCAAAAGAAGUAGGUAGUU
rnacentral:rRNA from 1 species